AGAUGGCGACCGGCGCACGGGUGAGUAACACGUAUCCAACCUGCCGAUAACUCGGGGAUAGCCUUUCGAAAGAAAGAUUAAUACCCGAUGGCAUAAUUAGACCGCAUGGUCUUAUUAUUAAAGAAUUUCGGUUUAUCGAUGGGGAUGCGUUCCAUUAGGCAGUUGGUGAGGUAACGGCUCACCAAACCUUCGAUGGAUAGGGGUUCUGAGAGGAAGGUCCCCCACAUUGGAACUGAGACACGGUCCAA
rnacentral:rRNA from 1 species